GAUGAACGCUGGCGGCGUGCCUAAUACAUGCAAGUCGAGCGAACGGACGAGAAGCUUGCUUCUCUGAUGUUAGCGGCGGACGGGUGAGUAACACGUGGAUAACCUACCUAUAAGACUGGGAUAACUUCGGGAAACCGGAGCUAAUACCGGAUAAUAUUUUGAGCCGCAUGGUUCAAAAGUGAAAGACGGUCUUGCUGUCACUUAUAGAUGGAUCCGCGCUGCAUUAGCUAGUUGGUAGGGUAACGGCUUACCAAGGCAACGAUGCAUAGCCGACCUGAGAGGGUGAUCGGCCACACUGGAACUGAGACACGGUCCAGACUCCUACGGGAGGCAGCAGUAGGGAAUCUUCCGCAAUGGGCGAAAGCCUGACGGAGCAACGCCGCGUGAGUGAUGAAGGUCUUCGGAUCGUAAAACUCUGUUAUUAGGGAAGAACAUAUGUGUAAGUAACUGUGCACAUCUUGACGGUACCUAAUCAGAAAGCCACGGCUAACUACGUG
rnacentral:rRNA from 1 species